UCCUUUACUGCAACCACUUUGAAAUUUCAUUCAAAAUGCAAGUGAUCAUUUAAUGAAUCAUAUUAUAAUGGGCCCGGUCCAUCUUCCGUCAUGCUUUGUGGCCUUGGAACACGUGGGUGGACCCAAAAUGUAUUCGAGUACGUGUUGGACUGCAAUCUAAAGCGCGUCAAGUCUUGAUGAAAAAUCAUGAAGUUGAGCAUUGGGCCACCAUGAGACUGUAAAACACGAUCAAUAAUUUCAACAGUUGUGUAGAUUCCCCCCAAAGAAGGAUAAACGCAAAGCAACGGAACCGUAGCCCACUUGUAUCUCCACUUGCUUGACAAGAUGCUCGUCCUCACCGCAUCUACAAUCGGCAAGUUCGACAGGAUUUGGUCCAUCACAUGCCCAGGUCGCUUUUGUAACCUCAAAUGAGCGGGGCAAGGAGGAAAGAUGGAAUCGCCAGAACGUCGACGAAGCUGUAUAUGAUGAAGUCAGAAAUUGAUCAAUAGGGGAUUUGCUGCUCAACCCUCGUCAGGGAAGAAGACGAUGACGAACAUCACCACAAACAAUACAGACUACGGGAGCAAAGAGAAGGUCGUCACUUUCAGGUUCCCAAGAAUGCCCAUAAUAUUGGUUAAUUGCAGUUUGCUCCUUUAAUUCCAUUUAGCCUCGAAAGUACUCUGGAAAGUUUAGGCUUUAGGCUUUUAGCGUCUAUUCAGUUGAACCCAGGACUCGGGUGAUAUUCUUUUUCUAUGCAAAAAGGCAAAAGGAAAAAGAAAUCUGUAAUGAACUUUCAGUUGACGGAACUUAAUCUGUAAUACAAAAGUAUGAUCAGGUCACCCCUCA